GGUAGCGGCUGAACAGGAGAAGCGUGAAAAGGAGGAAUCUUUUUCUUUUUUCUUUUGCUGAAUAAGAACUCAUCAUGGAAAGGGUGGUCCAAGAGUCAAAGAAACUUCAGCAGGAAGCAGAGGAGAAUGCGAAGGUAAUGAUAAAGCUACGGGAGUUCUUAAUGGACCGUGGUCGUGUUGUCGAUGUAUUGCAGAUUGCCUCAAGUUCUUAAAAGAAAUACCUUCUGCAGCAACAAAUGAUGCAUCUACCAAUCCUUUCCAACAUUCCAGCUCUAUCAUGAAUCUUUAUCUAGAGACAAGUUUUACUCUUUUGAAGGUUUUUACUUCCAAAAUUUCUUUUUCUAUUACCUAUACAUA